GAGCACGUAGGUGGGUUUGUAAGUCAGAUGUGAAAGCCUUCUGUUCAACGGAAGAAUUGCAUCUGAAACUGCGAGUCUUGAGUGUAGGAGGGGAGAAUGGAACUUCUGGUGGAACGGUGAAAUGCGUAGAUAUCAGAAGGAACGCCGGCGGCGAAAGCGAUUCUCUGGCCUAUUACUGACACUCAGUGUGCGAAAGCUAGGGGAGCAAACGGGAUUAGAUACCCCGGUAGUCCUAGCCGUAAACGAUGGGCACUAAGUAGAGGGGUUUU
rnacentral:rRNA from 1 species